rnacentral:rRNA from 1 species
UACGUAGGGACCAAGCGUUGUUCGGAUUUACUGGGCGUAAAGGGCGCGUAGGCGGCGUGGUAAGUCACUUGUGAAAUCUCUGAGCUUAACUCAGAACUGCCAAGUGAUACUGCUGUGCUCGAGUGUGGAAGGGGCAAUCGGAAUUCUUGGUGCAGCGGUGAAAUGCGUAGAUAUCAAGAGGAACACCUGAGGUGAAGACGGGUUGCUGGGCCAACACUGACGCUGAGGCGCGAAAGCCAGGGGAGCAAACGGG